rnacentral:rRNA from 1 species
GAUGAACGCUGGCGGCGUGCCUAAUACAUGCAAGUCGAGCGAACGGACGGGAAGCUUGCUUCUCUGAUGUUAGCGGCGGACGGGUGAGUAACACGUGGAUAACCUACCUAUAAGACUGGGAUAACUUCGGGAAACCGGAGCUAAUACCGGAUAAUAUUUUGAACCGCAUGGUUCAAAAGUGAAAGACGGUCUUGCUGUCACUUAUAGAUGGAUCCGCGCUGCAUUAGCUAGUUGGUAAGGUAACGGCUUACCAAGGCAACGAUGCAUAGCCGACCUGAGAGGGUGAUCGGCCACACUGGAACUGAGACACGGUCCAGACUCCUACGGGAGGCAGCAGCAGGGAAUCUUCCGCAAUGGGCGAAAGCCUGACGGAGCAACGCCGCGUGAGUGAUGAAGGUCUUCGGAUCGUAAAACUCUGUUAUUAGGGAAGAACAUAUGUGUAAGUAACUGUGCACAUCUUGACGGUACCUAAUCAGAAAGCCACGGCUAACUACGUG